rnacentral:rRNA from 1 species
UACGUAGGGGGCUAGCGUUGUCCGGAAUCAUUGGGCGUAAGAGCGUGUAGGCGGCCCGGUAAGUCCGCUGUAAAAGCAAAAGGCUCAACCUUUGAAUGUCAGUGGAUACUGCCCGGGCUAGAGUCCGGAAGAGGCGAGUGGAACUCCUGGUGUAGCGGUGGAAUGCGCAGAUAUCGAGAGGAACACCUGCGGCGAAGGCGGGUAGCUGGGCCGACACUGACGCUGAUGCGCGAAAGCCAGGGGAGCGAACGGG